GGGCAAAUAAUUAAGUAUGGUUGUUGAUUAGGAGUUGCUACUAUGCCGAUAUAAUUCAGGAGUGUCAUGCUUAUAACAAAGCAUUCAUUCGCAAUUUAAAUAGUUGGCAUACUAUCCACUCUUUACCUUAAUUUCCCAUGGGGCUUUUAGCUUCUCCAAAUUCUUGGGUGGUUGCAAGAUAGAACAGUUGUAACAGACUCACCAAUCAUUCAUCUUUUGAUAGACUAUCAAUCCGGAGGUUUUUUAUAAGUUUUGCAAAAUAAAUGAGUUCCUCGAAUGAUUCUCUCAAUCGCUCAAUGUGUAUGAAAUCCUUACCAAAGGCAUUAUGUGAUUGAAUUUAAACCUUACCACUAAGGCUGAGAGUGGAGUUUUGGGCAGGUAUAAAGGUGGGCGUACUUACGGCACUUGUAUUGCUCAGUCAAAGCCCGGACCAUGAGGAGAUACAAAUCAUACACCUUGAUUGAGAUGUGCAAGUGUGUGGAGUACGAGGAAUUGGUGGAAAUCCUAAUUCUAAAUAUUCUUGGUCACUCCUUUGCAUCAUGACUCUCGUUUAUUUGGAGGAUAAGAGAGAGAGGAAGAGGAAAACAUAUGGGCUCAAUCUCUUAAUAAUAAUUGUUUUUCAUGACGGGGACUUUUGAUUUUUUUUCUUUCUUUCCUGUCUAUGCCUUUUUGGCUUUUCCCUUUGGAUAUAUUUUUUUUCAACUAUAGCCCAUAUGUCUUGAUGAAUGGAAUCAGAGAAAUUUAAAGAGAUGUCAUGAGGACAAAAAGUAAGGAGUGAAUUUGGGGAUGCGCAAAUCUCAGGAUGAGAGUUUGGCAUUUUUAUUUGGUGGAAAGCUAAGGCACAACUCUCAGGAUAAGAGUUGGCAAAAAAAAUUUUGGUGGAUGGAAGGGUGCAUGUUGUGCGCGACUUCUCAGUGUAAGAGUCGGCUUUAUUUGGUGGGUGUAAGUGAAUCUCAAUCAUGGGUGCAUGACCAUAAUCUCACUCUAGGAUCUCAGAGAUUUGACCCGACUCAAAGUUCCGCAAGCCGCAUAUGACUAAAGGUUUUAAGAACUGAGUAACAAGUCAUCUGGUCUUGGUAGGUAUUUCAUAAUCAUUGAGGAACCCUUUGUUUUAAAUUUUUGAAAAGAAAACUCUGGAUGUCAAGUUUCUCUUAAGACAAAGUCAUAGCAAAAUCUAUUUGUACCAUAUCAUGUCUCGCAACAACUUAGAAAAGGAUCAUGCAUUCGCAACCCACAAGAUUUCAAGUUUUCAGAAUAGAACAUUUUUAGCCAACAAACUUAAAUCUUGAUGAAGACUAAGUUAUAACUUAGACACUAAAGAAUUAUAGACAAAGCAACUAUUCAUCAUUUCAGCAGAAGAGCAACUAGCAUAUUAAAACAU
rnacentral:lncRNA from 1 species